rnacentral:lncRNA from 1 species
AAUAGGUUUCACACAUUCAUGUCCGUUCAAGUGUGACAUGAAAAGGGGAACCUGAUGAAGUGGAAAGGGAUGAAGACUUACUUGUUUUUUGAACACCAGCGUCGCAUGCACGACUACUUUAGAAAUUGCCAGCAUCGUAGUGUCUCCCAGUCACAACUCUUCUUUUCCCUUCAUCUUCUUGCCUUCAGCUUUCGAAAUGUUUCCCUUUUUCUUCUUCGAUCAUGUUUCCUUCUCUUCUUCUGGUUUUCCUUGUGAGCCUCCUUCUCAGCGAUGUUCACUUCUUCCUCUCAGUCUACUCUCACUUCUGUCACACCUACCUCUCUUUCUCUCUCUAACUCAUCGAGCUCCUCUCUCUCUCUCUCUUAUUUUUGGCUUCUCUGGUUAUAAUGGAAGAGAAACCCUAAAUGGUUCUUUUAAAUACUCAACUUGUCAGUUGUUUGAUCUCAUCAGAUUAAAUUUAGGCUGCUUGCUCGUUUUUUAUUAGGAGCCGUUAGAUCG